UCGGGUGACCGUUGGAUCGGGGAUCUGCGGGUGAGAUCAAAGAAUCGUGGGGGAAUGCCGAUGGCGCCGCCGCGAGAGGGGACGAUGGCGCCGCCGCGAGCUCUACCCAAUGCGAGGCGACGAUGAGUGCGGGGGGCUACGGCGAUAGCGGCGCCGUCGAGGGAAUGGCGGCGGCGAGCUUGAUCCACGGCAUCGCCCGCAAGGUUGAGCCUGUAUGGAAGGAGUGACUUCAUCCCAUCCCCUUUCAAUCUACUCGCUCUGCCCUGACGAAAAUGAUCCAAAAAGUUAUUUAGUGGUUUAAUCCAGUGAAAAUAGAAAAAAAAAAUGCGAAGCAACGUUAUGGCAUUGGUUGGCGAUGGCAUAUUGGACUGACGUUACAGGCGAAACCCACCUUGAAGGUGGCGGAAUGCCCGGUCGGCGACGAAGCCGACGGUGGUCCGGCUCGCCCGGGAGCUACAGGAUUCAGUUUCCGCCGCCGAGCGCCGCGGUAGGGUCCGGCCACAUCAGGUAGGGCAUCCAUAAAUCUUCCACGCUAUCCCCCCCCCAACCCUUUGCUCAGUCUGUUCAUGCUCCAUGGCAGCCGUUAAGGGCGGCUCUCGAAACGACGGGGAGCUUCGAGCCCUUCGAAGAUUGGGAGUUCGGAAACCCUCGGCACGAGCGCCCAGUUCGUAGCCACUGGCUCCAGUCGAACCAGCAUCAUCUGCUUCACCUGAAGCACGCGGCGUCCGGAGAGAGGUGAGUUGCCCUCUUCACAUCUCAUGCUUUUGCGCGCACAUUUUUUAGUUGGUUCAGGUUCUGUUUCAUGAUUUCAUUAGUUCUCGUUGAGUGCCUACUCAAAUGUGUUAUUUUUUCCCUGUCUCUGUAACAUCGAGUACAAAUUAGCAAAGAAAGAUAUUCUCAACAAAAUGAAAAAAAAAACACAGAAAGCAUUUCUUGGAACAUACCAGGGGUAAGACCUGAUGUUUUUAUAAUAUUGUACUCCUAACUGAGCUUAGACUUAGAGAUACACAAAAUGUUUUGAGAUGAGAAAACAGUCUUAACCAAACUACAUUCAGUUUACCUUCAAACAAAGGAAGUAAACACACAUUACAUUAGGCUUAGCAUGUCACUGAUCGAUAUGCUAUUACAGAUAUAUGAGUUUUGAUGAGUAGUAAGAAUUCAAAUUCAAGUGAGCUAAAAUCGAGCUGAACUUGAGAUGGGUACCACCCGUGGUCCACUGGGCCUGUCCCUGUCACCACCCCUAUGAAUGGGAAUUGAUACACAACGCUUAACCAUGUUUUGUUGCGGAUUUAUGUCAUGUAUCUGUUUUGGUCCAGUUUCUUCUUGUUUCUGUUCCCCAAUUGUGCCUCCUUUAUUUUGUUGUGGAAAAUUUUGCUCUGCGUCUCCACUUCCAGAUUCAACUUGCUUAUUUUUGUAGAAAUAGAUAAUCAGAGCAAUCAAAAGCGAAGAAGUUGAGGUCACUCCAGUAAGAAUGAACAGACCUUCAAAACCUGCAAAGGUUAGGCUACCCGAACUAGUGAUAGUACCCACAUUUCGGCACUUAUUUUGAUCUCCAAUCCAUUUCUUUUCUAUUUGGUUGAUAGUGUCUCCCCCUGUUAUGUUGAGGAUUGCCUUCGAGAUGUCACCUUGUAGAGGGGAUUCCUUUUGAAAUGCCUACGAAAGAAAUAUAGCCUUUUUAAUUAGCUUAUAUCCACAGACCAUAAAAUAUCUUCUGUGUCUUUUAGUAAUGCGGAAACUAAAAGCAAGAGGGAUUGAACUUAUAUGCCAUACAUGUCUUAGCUCCCUUUAACUAAUCAUCCAAAAUGCUAAAAUAAUUAAUCCCAAUGCCUUUCUAGUACUAACCUAGCAGCAGUAAUCCUGCAACCUAGGUUAGUUGCCAAACACAAGAUCUGUUAACCUAGCCUAGAUGGGAUAAAUACUCUUUUUUUUAUCUGAUGCUGUUGACUUUUGGAUAUACUUUUAACCAUUUUUCUUAUUCAAAAAUUUUACAUAAUUAUUAAUUAUUUUGUUAUGAUUUGAUUUUAUUACUAUGGACACUUUAAGUAUGACUUAUAAUUUUGUAUAUUUGAACAUAAAUUUUGAAUAAGACGGAAGUCAAAAUUAGAUACAAAAUCAACAGUGUCAAAUAAAAAAAACCUAGAGGGAGUAUAAUGUUAGCUGACCAGGCUAUCUCAACCCGAACCAGGUACAGCCUUUAGUAAGCUAUAUAGACUGAAGUAUGGUUGACAUGUGUUCAACAUGGAUUUCAUCUCUAGCUACACCAACAUGCUUGGGUCUAAAGGUUUGUUAUUGAAGACUGAAGCAUGGAGUGUUAUUCCUUUUCUGUGCAUAAUUAGGAAAUAACAUGCAGUUUUCCUGUUAUCAAUUUACCAAGUCAAGCAAUAUAAGCUACCAAUAUCCUUUCAUUUUUGCAUAUAUGUAUUCCACUGUCACAGUCGAUAGAUCAAAAGCAUAAAAUAUAAAUUCAAAAUGCUGCUAGGUGAACUCAAUUGACUUCAGACAACGAAGAGUGAAUAAUAAUACUUUGUGUUCCUGCCUAUAAAGUUCAAACACGAUGUGAAGUAGACCUGAUAGUUAUAUGAAGAUCUAACUUUUAAAUCAGACAUGAAAUAGAAUGCCAUUUUAUUUUUUUGUAAAUAUCUGUUUACCCCCAAGAAUCUAACUGAUCAUCAUAUUUAUUUCCAGAUGUACUAAUAAGUAGAAGUAAAGUUAACUUACAUAUCCAAAUCCCGCUGUCUUAUAAAUCGGUCCAACCAUGGUAUACCCCUCACAGUGUUUCGCAAGAAACAAUUUGAUAUAUGGGACUUCAUCCACAAGAGCAGAAAUACCACCAUUCCUGCUUCCCCUAGAUAGUGCAUCUCGAGAAUCUUCAGCAUUAUCAUAUUGCUUGAUCCUCGAUCUGUCAAAACCGAGUUCUUCUAAAAGACCCUUGACAUAGGAACCUUCUUGACAGCCUACAUAUUCUCCACUUUUUAGGAGUUCAUGUACGUCAGUUAGAGUUGGCUGAAGCUGACGCACAGUUAGCAUUGAUGUCAAACUUGCAGUGUAACUUGAUGUUAGCACCAGAAGAAAAAACAACCAUAUGAUCAACACUAUCCGAGACAGGAGGCGUUCCGCCAUGUCAUCUGCAGAAGUUACAACUAGGAGUUCAGCUAUUUUUGAAGUGUAAAAUGCCAAACUUAAAUGCUACAACAAUAAAUCAUAACAGUGAAAAAUUUCAACUCGUCCUUUAUAUGUAUCUCAUGUGCACUUAUACUGUAUUAUAUCAUUCAUAUUUUAUUUUAUUUUCCAGGGGGACAAACAGUAUGUAAAUACUCUGAAGUAUUGUAGUGUAAAAAAGAAAAAAAUAUAUCAAACAUUAAAUAAGGAGAUAAAUAUAAGCAGGCAGAGGAGAAAGGCACAAAUUAACUGAGACUGUCUAGUUAUUCUUCUUUUUAAGGGCCUAGUUGUUCCUUUGGUUUAUUUGUGGAGCAUACUUCUCUUUUGCCUAUGUUAUUUCCAUAUAUAUCUAUAGACCCAAAUACCCAAUAUGUUUCUCUAAUUUGGGGCAUUUGAUCAUCUAAGUCUUGAAAGUAUGAAUAUACACAAUUUGAGGAAAUCAUGUCACUAGUAUAUGCCUCUUACCUAGAAAAUAAAGUGGCUUGUUACUAAUUUCAAUAUUGCAAAAUAAUUUGCACAUAAAUAUCAAAGAUCAACACAUGUCAAAAAAGAUCUACAGUUCUACACAACCAAAUUGAUACUUAAAUUAAAUGCUUUACUUAUCCAAAAUCUUGUAUAUAUCAGAUAAUCAGAAAUAAAAUGAGGAAUGUACUCAACUCUCUACAAAUAGGGAAUAAUAUAUCAUAACCAUCUGUGUGGGAAUGGGGCCACGAGCAUUCUUGCUGUUACCAAGAAACUCCAGUAGCCAUACAACAAUCCCUGUGUAGAUAAAGAGUAUGAUGCUUCCAAACCACAUUCCAGGUGUCAGUGGCUUCAAAAAAAUCCAUGUAGUCGGGUUUAUGCUUUCUCUGAGUGGAACAAUCAUCGCCACACCAGAUUCUGUGUAUGGCAGGCUGAAAUCCACAUACGAAGAUCUUUUGUACCUAAUUGUUAUGUCUCCAAUUGCCAUGUCGUAUUUCUGCAAUUGAAUAAAUAUAUUUUUGAAGUAGGUGCACAAAAAGAUCAGUGUAAUCAUAGCUUAUUAUGAAUCCUGAACUACCUAGAAAAUAAUCAUGAAUGAUAUUAAAGUACCAGCUGGAUGCAUAAUAUUGCAAACUAUAUUCUGCUUUAAAUGUCAUUUUCUAGAAAAUUUUGUUGCCAUGAAAUAUGUUUUUUUUGUUGAUUUUUGGAGUUCAAUAUCCUAUGCAACUGAUUUUGUUAGUUAAGUGUGCAGAACUUCAUAAGAAUUUGGACUGAAGUUGGGCUCAUGCAUAAAUGUGACAAAGUGGUGAAACAUGAUCAUGCACACAUAUAUAGUUAUAAACACAUAAUGUUGACUAUAUUUAUAUCGGCAUAUCCCUAUUUCUUCGUCAAAAGAAAAACAUCAAUGUAGUGCCUAGCUACAUAUUACCAACAAAACCAUCCUUUUAAAUUGUUGGCUUUCCUUGUGUAGUUUUUGGUGUGUCUUUGCACUAAAUUAGCAUGAGGCGGGAAAUGUCUGAUUUUUUUUUCUGAGUGGAAAUAUCUGAAAUUGAGAACGGCAAAAUGCACGAACAAAAUUUCAAUGUGAAGAGAGGUUAUAAAGAAUUCACUUACCUUAAGAUAUACUUGAUAAACAAAAUCAUCAUAGCUUGAACUUAUAUUUCCUGUAGCGUUAUAGAAUACAUAUUCAUAAGGGAGAGCAUAAGGAAGUCUCUUUACUGCCUCUUCAAACACUUCAACUGCAAGGCCACUUGCUUUAGUCAUACCGGUCAUAAUAAGAUCCUUUUCAGCAUAUAUAUACUCUGGGUAUCCACUACUCGUGCACACACCAACUUGAAGCUUCUUCCCACUCGUUGGAAUUUCCCAACCCCUAGGUGUAUCUGUAGAUUCUCCUGGCCAAAUCGCAGGGUUUAGAUCAUGCUCUAUGCUUAGAUAUGUUCUAUUUGAUUUUUGUUUAGUUAAUUUCCGUGAAAAUCCAUCCUGUGCAGACCAAAACCCAAUCUCUCUCCAUCCUUUCCCCACUAUAUUUAUUAUUUGAAAUGUGGAAGAUUGCAAUUGCCUGGCAGAAAAGUUAAAGUAACCACUUAGACCUUUAAACUUAUACUGCACGAUUGCAUUUAGGAACUCCUGGCCAUUUCCAGAGUUUUUCAGGGUUUCCAAGCUUGUCAUGCUUUUUGUCAUAUGGUGCAUCUGGGCGAUUUCGUUUGUAAACUUGACCUGUUCUGCUGCUUGUGCUACUGCCCACAUUGUAUCGUAGCCCCAUAGGCCAAAUAUGCUUAAUUUCAACUGUGGGUCAUUGGGGUUGUCCAUCCGGAACCUUGUAGUCCAUCUUGCGGUGAAGUUAUCAAGUUCUGUUGAUCUAGGGACAUAGACCUCUACACCAAGGGCACCAUUCAUUGCUUCCAAAACUGAUGGGUUUAGCGAGUCUAUAAGACUGGCAACUCCAAAUGUUAUGAUCCAUACAUAUCCUUUGGUCAUCAUCCCCAACUCUUUCGCUUUUAAAUUGCCUUCUAGUGCAUCGAGAAGAUCCGGUAUAAUGCUUCUGCCAUAAUCGGUUUCUAUGUAGAUAGGAACCACUUCUCUCCAUUUGUAGUGCUUGAUUAGAUAUGCAAUGCUAUUCACUUGUGUGGAAUCAUUUAUUGUUGCCCGCACAAAAUAUGGUAUAUUGUCAAAAGUAAGGGAUGGACUUGUUGCUGUGAACGAGAUGAUAGGUACUUUACUUUUAUUUGCAAUUUCUGACACGAAAAAUACUUCUGAAGAUUUCUGAGGACCAAUGAUAGCUUUCACAUUAUAAUUGGUCAGCAGGUCAAGAGCUGCAAAAUUGCAUAAGCAGCAAGCAACAGUUUUAAAUUGUGCAUGGAAGCAAUUGAUACUUAUCGAGAUUCAAGUGCUAUAAUGAAAACUGGAAAAUUGAAAUACUAUCUUAAAUUUCUUGUGUAGAGAAUGCAUUGCUCUUCGUUAUGCUUCCUCGAAACAUUGUUUAUUUGUAAUAAAUUUUAAUACGGAAAAGGAUUAAUUAAUUGAUGUGUGAAAAUGCAGAGCAUCGAUGCUAGCAGCUAUGGAAAAUGCAUUUUGGAUUUCGGACUAAUCUUGUCCAAAUAAAUACCAUGGUCAAUAUAUUAUUUAGUUGUGAAGUUUGCUGCAUGUCAAAGGUUGUCCAGUUUCUUCAAGCUUGGAUGAUGCCAUUCAUCAGUAUCAGCUUUGUUGUUUACUCCAAGCUGAUAUGGAGCUGGAGCCUCAUAUAACCCUACUUUAGAAUACAUUGGAAUCAAUUAUACUUCCAUUGACUACAUCUUUUGGGACCAACACAGUAACACAUCACUAACUUUGAAUUAUUUUCCAUUUUGGAACAUACAUUGUCACUUCUGAUACAUGUUCAACCUGGGGGCCCUAUUACCGCGACUUAGCUACACAUUUGAUUGGGCCAGCGUCAUCCCAUUAUUUGAGUUCUCUCACUAGAAUUGAUUUGAUCAGGUAUCUUUUUUUUUCUUUUGUUACUGUUGUUAAAUUCAGGCAUAUAAUAAAUGUGCAAUCUGCAAUUUACUCAUUGCCCCCCUGAUGCAAUUCCAUUAGUUAAGAGGUGUGUUGCUUUUGGCAUGAUAUAUAUUACAAUCUUAGGGAUCAUUAGUUGCAAACAUGAAAAUUUUCUAUAAGAAAUUAUUAUCUUUAUCCAUUUUUAUCAAAUGGUCGUCUUUAAAUUUCAUUUAUAGUUAGUAUCCUGUUAUUAGCCCACAGUAAUGGUUAUUCGUUGACAGAAUGACAGCUGAUGUUGGGCACUGUUUAUAGCAUUGAUAAGUGAUAACUAGCAAAAUACUGAUGAUGGUACCAAUAGGUGAACCAAUAAUAAGAUGUGAUCGGCUGAGUAAAAUUUUAUAUGUUUUCAUUUUGGAUUUCUAUAUUUGAAUGCAGCGGUAGUUUUACCUAACGUUAAUAUUCAUUUGUAAUGCGUCAUGCAUGCAAUUCUCAAUACUUUAAGUUCUAAUUGACUAAAUUUCCUUUCUUCAACCUUAAAAUUAACCUGUCGUGUUGGAGCAAGUUCCAAAAGUUCCUCUCACCCUACAACUCCAGGUAAUGAUGCUUAUCUAUGGGUAAGCAUGUUCAAAAUUUUGUAUGGCAAUUUUUGUGGUGGUCUCUACUGCUAGUUCAAUGGACCAUAUCUAUUUUUACUACUACCUAAACUACUCGUAGUAGAAAAAAUCUUCCUACUAGUAGAGGAAGUCACAAAUCAAUGACUUGGAACAAUUUAUACAUGGGUGAUCAUACUAGUAGUAGCAUACUACCAGUAAGACCACCGUACUUGGUGUAAGCAUAAACAUGUCCAGCCAGAGUCGUUCAGUUUUUCAAGAUGUUAACACCGUUACACUAACAUAUGUUUUAUAGCCAAAGUAAUGUUUUGGGGGCUUACUCAAACAAAGUGGUGUAGAGCAGUAGGUAGAAUGUGAAGUAAUAUGGUAUAGUUUCUUCCAUGACAUGACAUAGCACAGAAUAUUUACCUUCUGAUGCUGCUUGGACACUACUGCCCAUUGAAUCCUUGAUGUGCAUAACAACUCUCGUGGUGUAGUUUGGAUGCAACGCAUAGAAAUCUUCAAUGGCCAAUAAAAUACUGGUCUUUGCUAUCUUCCCUACUAGUGAGCCCAAGUCGAGGAUCACCCCAACAUGAACUUGGUUUACUCCAUUUCUAUUGGUGUUUUGAGCUAUGCCUAAAUGUACUGUUAUUAAUAGCAGAAAGAGGAUGACCUGGGGUGCGUUCUCCAUUGCCAGAGCUGCAACUGUGAAAGGCUUGGCAAAACAUUUGUAGUGAGAUGCAUUCUUAUAGGACUAGCUGUUGAGGAGUAGCAUUCAUUAUUAUACUAGUUAAGCUGGCACCCAUCUUUUCGCUUCUGUUUAUACUUAUAAGCCAAAAUUUGAAUUUUCAACUAUAAAUUUGAAGUUGAUUUUGGGGUUUUCACCGAAGUUUAUUUUUGAGCCUUGGCUUUUAGACUGUUAAGAAUACGUACAUAAAAUUUUUAUUCACAAAUUAUUUUUCGUUUACAAACAUGCUGUGAAAAAGUCAAACAAUCAUCCAAGGAUGUUUAGUAAAAGCAUGGAGGAUUCUAUUUUUCUCCUAUUGGUCGAUCCAUUGUCGUUCAUAUUUUAAGUGCGGAAUAAAGUCUAUUAUGGCACUGGAAGUUUCUGAUACGGUGACAUCCGAAGACCUAAGAAGACUGAAUAACUACUAAAUGAACUGGCAAGUGUUUCUCAGAAAGUGCUGGAAUCUGAUUCAUGAGAUUGUUAUCAUUUUUAGAAAGAUAAUCUAUUAUUUUCUUCCAUGCAAUAUUUGACUUUUAUUGAAAGGAAUAUCUGACUAUUGCACCUGACUCUCCUGUAUUUUACUACCCAUUUUAAAUAUAUGGUAUUAUUAACUUUUGGACAUGAUGAUUGACAAUUCGUCUUAGUUGAAAAACUACGUAAGUAUCGUUUAUUUUGUUGUAACUUGUUUUAUCAUUAAAUAUACUUUAAGCAUGAUUUGUAUUUUUGCACAUUUGCAUUGACUUUUUGAAUAAGAAGAAUUGUCAAACAUAAUGUCCAAAAGUUAACAACGUCAUAUAUAUUUAUAAAUGGAGGGGGUAUGAUUACUUUGUUUGGCGCGUUGUUUAAACAGCCUCUGAAAAGUUCCUUUUGAAUCAACGUACUAAAAUUUAAUUAAUUCGACCCAAUUUGUCUUGUCUUUGGAAGGGUGGUAUUUUUUUAAUGAAUUGAACUAAGGGAGCAUACAGCUUCUAUCAUCUACAAAAUGGAAAGGAACUUAGUUGUUCGACUAACAACUCCCAAUCUUGUAUUAUCAUUAUUUUUUAAUGGAAGCAACAGCUACUAGCCUCUCACCUGAUGAUUUUUUUUGGACAACAAUAUUGUCCAUUUGUAAGAUAACUAAUGGAUGGCUGUGCAAAGUAUCUCUAGUUGAGAGGUCAAAACUCGCAGAUUAAUGGGUCAAUGAUGCUUUUUGUCAGCAAUAUACGUUUGACAACUGAAAAGGGGUUGCUCACUAGCUUAUUAUGAGGUCUAGAAUAUCUGUGCAGUUGAAACUUGAAAGGUUGAUGGUGCUUGUUCUGUACUUCCAUCGAGCAAGAUUAUUGUUUAUCAGGUCGUCCGUCCAAACCGGUUGUAUUUGACUCUGCGACCAACUUGUGGGGUUUUCUAAUUUAUACUAUGGUUCUAUUUAGGAGGCUUUUAGCCUCUGUAGCUUCUUACAUAACCUACAGCUGUCAAGUUCUUACCGUCCCCGAAUAUUUAACGUGGUUGAAUUUUUUUCAAACAUAUUGCAUUUAGAUUUUUUGGAGUAGUAUUUAGAUUUUGAGGAUUUGCCUUUCUAGAAUCCAAAAAAUGUAUUAGCAGGCAGAAGCAGCAAAUUUAACCUUUUCAAAUUCUCAGAAGUUAGCUUCUCAUCGGCUACUUUAUGAAAUCUUAGCUUUUCUAAACGACAUCAGGUUUUCUUUCAUUCUAGCAUGAUUCUAAAUUGUAGUAUACUUUUUCGUCUUUCCACAGAAUCUUGAUUUUGACUUCAUAGCUCCCUGUCACUUAUGAGGUGAUGACACCUGGUGAUUGAAGUGUCAGGUUCUAUUUCACUCUAGCAUGAAUGCAUGAUUCUAUUAGGGUGUGUUUAGUUCGUGAAAAGAAAAUUUUUACAUAUCAUGCUGAACAUUUGAUCAGAUAUCAGAAGGUUUUUUUUGACACGGAUGAAAAAACGAAUUUCAUAUUUUACUUGGAAACCGCGAGAUGAAUCUUUUGAGUCUAAUUAAUCAGUCAUUAGCACAUGUGGACUAUUGUAGCACUUAUGACUAAUUAUGAACUGAUUAGACUUAAAAGAUCCGUCUCACGAUUUUUCCUCUAACUGUGCAAUUAGUUUUUUUAUCUAUAUUUAAUACUUCAUUUAGGUGUCUAAAGAUUCAGUGUGAUGUUUUUGAAAAAAAAAAUUUGAAAAUUAUAUGGGCCCAAUAGUAUAAUUUUUCGUCUUUCCACAUAAUCAUGAUUUUGACCUCAUAGCUCCCUGUCACUAAUGAUGUGAUGACGCCUGGUGAUUGAAGUGUCGUUAUGUUAAGCUAUGACUUAUUACAUGUAAUGUUAAUGCCGCGUUUGGAACCUGGUAAUGUUUCUUGAUUUUAUAUGAAUUAAACUAUUUCGUGUCAAAUUUAUCUAGGAUUCACACAUUGGAAUGUAAUAUUACUGGUGGAGAAAACAUUUUUUUUUGGAACCCCCUACAAAACAUGAGCCGAUUUUUUAAUGGCUGCUUUUCAUCACAUAUAUAAAGAAAAUGUUUUAGCUAGUAUUCUUUUUUCCCUCCAAAAAGAUAUCGGAAAAUGAUGUACGUACGAAUUCGUUGGUACGAUGCGUUUACGAUUCAGCUGUGCGUCGAUCGAAUUCCGUCGUCGUGUCUUGGGGAUGCGCGCACGCUGCCGUUAGUGCGUACGUUCGAUCGUCGUACGCAUGGCGCUGCUAAAAAAUAUCUAACACAGAGAAACAUCGAUAACAUGUUGACCGAAACAUGGAGAAUCACGAAAUGUACAAUGUCCAGAUCUGGUCCUUUCCUCUAUUCUCAACUGCCUGUGGGAAGCGGAGGAACAAGGCAGCAAUGGCUGAGCCACUGGUUGUUCUUCCUUCUCCUUCCGCAAGAUGCAAGAUGCCGGUGACACAACAAGGUUCACGUUAUCAUGGCUACCGCCGCGAAAACCACGGUAGGGGUGGUCUUCGCCGGGGGAUGGUUUUGGUAUACCGUGAUAGGUCCGUUUAAAUUUAAGGAGAAUUUAAAAAAAAUUAAAAAUUUGAUAGAAAAAAUAUGUGUUAGAGAUUAAUUUGCACUGAAGUUCGGUUCAAGAAAUAGAUGAAAAGAAUAAAUUUAUGAAUGAUUAAAAAAUCAUAGUAAAGAAAGAGGAGAAAAAUUUAUAAAAUUUAAUUAGAUAAAAAUUGUUUGUAGCUACAUGUUUAUAUAUGAAACAAUAGACAUGACACGAGGAAUGAGAUUGAUUUGUAGACAUGUGGAUAUGUUUGUACGUGGUCGGUUAGGUUACUAUAAAAAAUAAAAAAUGUAGCUAUCAUUAGUUAGUUCAUACUGCAUAGCUUCCUAUGCCAAUUAAUUUACGUAACAUUUAUAACUUUUAGGGAUAUGUAUGCAUGAUAAAUACACAUGAUUCUUAAUUUCUUGGUACAAAAUACGUGAUUUAUUUAUUACUUUUGAAUAUAGAUGCAUUAUGACAGAUAUAACCUCUAAUCUGGUGUGAGAACAUGGAUAACCCCUUAUCAUAAUUUCCAAAAACAUGUUAUAACGGUCAAAACUACACUUAACUACCAAUUUCCUAUUUUUUUAUAAUUUUUAUAGUUUUUUAGAUUUUUUAAUAAUUUUUACCUCGGUUUAUACACAUGGAUGCAGUACUUAGAAUGAGUUUCAUGCACUAUAGGUUGGAUUUUGAAUACGUUUUCUCCCCUCUUCACCGACGCAACGCAAGCCCCUAUCUCUAAUACAGGCGCGGCGGUUGGUCGGCCGGCCGGCCACGAUGCCGGCGAUGGUUUCGGGUCCUCCAAAAGCUGCAGGAUUCAGUUGCCGCCAGAGGAGAACGCCGCUGUAUGGCCCUGGUACAGCAGGUCCGGCUCCAUCCAUAAAUCUUCUGUACCUUCGCUGUUCUUAUCCUUAUCCUUCAAGUUUUCGCAUUUCCCCCUUUUUGCUCAGCUUGGUUCCUGGCCGUUGCGUUAAUGGCGGGUCUAAGCGAGAGCCUUGGACCGGGAGCGGGAAGCCCUCGGUGCCAGAUUCCAACUGGUAGCCCGGCCCUGACUCCAACCACUUGAAGCAGGUGGCGUCCGGCGGGGAAAUGAGUUGCCCUCUUCAAAUCUCAUGUGUUUCGUAUUUUUUGUUUGUUCGCGUUCUAUUUGCUUGCUUUUGGUUGAAUACUAACUUAAAUGUGUUUUUUUUACUGUCUCUGUAACAUUGAGUACAAUUUAUCACGCAAAGUCUGCUGUGUUCCAGAAAAUUGAACAGAAGGCAUUUCUUGCAAUACAACCAGGGGAGAGCCCUGAUAGUUGUGUAAAUUGUAUGAUAAACGAAGCCUAUAGAUAUAUAUAUACAAAAUGUUUAAGAGGAGAAACUAGUAUUAAUGAAAUUUCAUUCAUUUUACAUUUAAACUGUGAAAGUAAUCGCACAUUUUCUGUCCAG
rnacentral:lncRNA from 1 species